GACGAACGCUGGCGGCGGGCUUAACACAUGCAAGUCGAACGGAAAGGCCCUGCUUUUGUGGGGUGCUCGAGUGGCGAACGGGUGAGUAACACGUGAGUAACCUGCCCUUGACUUUGGGAUAACUUCAGGAAACUGGGGCUAAUACCGGAUAGGAGCUCCUGCUGCAUGGUGGGGGUUGGAAAGUUUCGGCGGUUGGGGAUGGACUCGCGGCUUAUCAGCUUGUUGGUGGGGUAGUGGCUUACCAAGGCUUUGACGGGUAGCCGGCCUGAGAGGGUGACCGGCCACAUUGGGACUGAGAUACGGCCCAGACUCCUACGGGAGGCAGCAGUGGGGAAUAUUGCACAAUGGGCGGAAGCCUGAUGCAGCAACGCCGCGUGCGGGAUGACGGCCUUCGGGUUGUAAACCGCUUUCGCCUGUGACGAAGCGGGAGUGACGGUAAUGGGUAAAGAAGCACCGGCUAACUACGUG
rnacentral:rRNA from 1 species